AGUGAACGCUGGCGGUAGGCCUAACACAUGCAAGUCGAACGGCAGCACAGUAAGAGCUUGCUCUUACGGGUGGCGAGUGGCGGACGGGUGAGGAAUACAUCGGAAUCUACUUUUUCGUGGGGGAUAACGUAGGGAAACUUACUCUAAUACCGCAUACGACCUACGGGGGAAAGCAGUGGAUCUUCGGACCUUGCGCGAUUGAAUGAGCCGAUGCCGGAUUAGCUAGUUGGCGGGGUAAAGGCCCACCAAGGCGACGAUCCGUAGCUGGUCUGAGAGGAUGAUCAGCCACACUGGAACUGAGACACGGCCCAGACUCCUACGGGAGGCAGCAGUGGGGAAUAUUGGACAAUGGGCGCAAGCCUGAUCCAGCCAUACCGAGUGGGUGAAGAAGGCCUUCGGGUUGUAAAGCCCUUUUGUUGGGAAAGAAAAGCAGCAGGUUAAUACCACGCUGUUCUGACGGUACCCAAAGAAUAAGCACCGGCUAACUUCGUG
rnacentral:rRNA from 1 species